GUUCAAAUGGAAUUGGCAACCUUCAUCAAAAGAGGAGCAUUAAGAAUAAACUCUUCAACAUGUUAAAGAAAAAGGUAAGGCAAAAAGGACUUACCAGCACUAUUCCCCGAGUGCGCAUCCAUUCUGCUUCAGAAACAAGCCUGCUUCCUCAUCAGAUGAUUCAACAGUAAUCGGUGGAUCAAGGAUCGCCUUGAGGCGCUGACACCAAUCAUCCUUUUUUAAGGCACUAACAACCAAGUCCAUAAUGGGCAAGGAGAGGUUGUCAUAUGAGUUCUCAGCACUGGCCAGCGCAGCAUCAGCUUGUUCCGUCACUGAGCAAUGACUUGUAUCGAAUUCUUGUCCCAGCAUUCGCUCAACGUGAUCAGCACACUCCAGGUAACCUCCUCGAU
rnacentral:lncRNA from 1 species